CCUACGGGAGGCAGCAGUGGGGAAUAUUGGACAAUGGGGGGAACCCUGAUCCAGCCAUGCCGCGUGUGUGAAGAAGGCCCUCGGGUUGUAAAGCACUUUCAGUGAGGAAGAACGCCUGGUGGUUAAUACCCAUCAGGAAAGACAUCACUCACAGAAGAAGCACCGGCUAACUCCGUGCCAGCAGCCGCGGUAAUACGGAGGGUGCGAGCGUUAAUCGGAAUUACUGGGCGUAAAGCGCGCGUAGGUGGCUUGAUAAGCCGGUUGUGAAAGCCCCGGGCUCAACCUGGGAACGGCAUCCGGAACUGUCAAGCUAGAGUGCAGGAGAGGAAGGUAGAAUUCCCGGUGUAGCGGUGAAAUGCGUAGAGAUCGGGAGGAAUACCAGUGGCGAAGGCGGCCUUCUGGACUGACACUGACACUGAUGUGCGAAAGCGUGGGUAGCAAACAGGAUUAGAUACCCUGGUAGUC
rnacentral:rRNA from 1 species